CAACUCCAGUUUGUCUUGCCAUGCCUCGGUCAGGGGCACAGCCGGGAGUAUUAACCCUAACAUAUAUGUCUUUUUGAUGGUGGGGGAAACCGGAGCAGCCGGAGAAAACCCACUGCAGACAUGGGGAGAACAUGCAAACUCCACACAGAGGACGACUUGGGAUGACCCCCAAGGUUGGACAACCCUGGGGUUUGAACCCAUGACCUUUGUGCUGUGAGGCAACAGCACUAACCACUGGGUCACCGUGCUGCCCAAAGAUUUGUUGGAAGAGAAGUGAGUAUCAGUAAUACACCAUGUUACCAACCGACACGGCUGGCCAGGGAACAGGCACUAUCACCGAUGUGCUCAUGGAUCCCCUGAUGAGAUGAGCCAGAGAAGUAAGCUUUUUGUAAGGCCAGGAUGUGGAUCCCACAAAGCACCCGUGAAGACUGAAAGAAAGACAAGCGGCUUUUGAAAGACCUGGAUCAUCUGACGAAGUGCAUCCACACAACAACACUAGAGGUGUAGCACUCCAUGUACCUCAAAUAGCUCCCGAAGAGAACACAUUUGGGAUACGAUGUGAUGAUCCAUGCCUCCAUGCUUGCUGCUCUGGAUCACAACAAUGCGAGCAGGGAAACAGGCUGUUUUGCAAGAUGGGGAGAGUGUUGGAGAACCCAAGUUCAGAAUCUCAUGGAGCAAGGUUCACAAGAGAUUCAGAGUAAGACCAGUUGCUGUUGAGAAGGACUAUGGCUACAUGAUGGCUACGGUCGCAGAUGUUCUCUCCUCUGUGUCAGAUUCAGAUUAGGGUAUGGACUUGAGAGUGAACCAAACACAUCAUGGCUCCACAAGACAGACCAUCCAGAUCACAGAUCAUUUUUCAAACAGCAGUUUUCACAUUUCAAGUAGUUGCAUCAUUACAAACACAUAAUGUAGACACCAGCAUUGUUCAAAUCCACAUAAACUUUAAUUCUAAAUUCUAGUCAAGAGUGUUUUCAAGGAUACUUUAUAUUUCAUAAGUGGCAUGAAACACACAUUUAUAUAUUUUUUGUACUGGGGUGCAUUUUGUAUAAACAUUUUUAUUUAAACCAUUAACAUUUCUGUAUGAUGCCCUAUUAUGUGGAGCUGUGCAUAACCCGUGGUCUUGAUGAAAUGCAUUCAAAUGUGAACUAUGCAUUUUAAAUAUCAUUAAAAUUUCUCCAU